rnacentral:misc_RNA from 1 species
AGAAACGUUCUCGACGAAAAGUGUUUAAUUUAUAAGGGAUGAAAUUGCAGGCGAAAAAUUGAAGAAUGUAAAUAGUGGCAAGCUGAUAUAUUCGUGAAAGGCGCGUUGUCGCGUUACGUGUCAAAGAGUAAUCGAAAUUGUUGGUUGCAGCUUGUUUGUAGUGCAGGGUCAGCAGCGAUCCUCGCGCGACGCGGCUCGUCAUCGUCUGUUAGCGUACAAUUAAUUGGAGGGGGCGACUAGAUGAUUGGAGGGGUAGACUUUCCCGAGAGUAGAUCGCACGCUUUUAUAGUGAACUCGACUCUUGCUGACUCUGUUCCGUUCGGUCUAUCGUCUCGUGGGCAAGCGGAAGAUCGUAAACGUUAAACGGCGCGUGUUCGGGUUGCACGCGAACUGAUAACUCGCGUUUCGAGUAGAAUCGCGGGCCGUUCGGCGGGAAAUGAGGUGUACAGUUCGAAACGAUCGGAGACGGUAGUUGGACCCAGCCUCGAGGAUCGACGCAGGAAACCAGUAUGACGUUCUUACGAACAAUUCUGGUGACGUUGGUGAUAACGGUGUUGGCAGUGGCUUCGUCGCAAGACUACAGUCAACUCUUCGCAGGAUUCGGACCGUAUCUAGGCGAAACUUCGGCGAUGAGAGAUCCAAGAUCGAACAGAGGUCCAGUGUUAUUUCCACCGGGGCCGCCACCGAACUCCGCGGACACGAGCGGAGUGAUUGUGGGCGCGAGCGGAUACGGAUUCGUGCCACCCAACCCAGGUAAAUCGUCGAUCGGAUUCUGAGCCGAAACGCUUCUCUCAGACAAGAUACGCAACAAAGUCAACGAGUUUGCUCUUAACACCAAAGACGAAGAUUAACUUUCGGGGUGACACUAACCCCUAGCACUUAUCGCUGUUACAUGUGCACCUAACUUGUGAAUAAAACGCUAUUUAUUUGUUACCCAGCCACCCUUUUCCUCCAACAAAUACUCGAAUAUCGUUCUUUUAUACAUUUAUUUCGCGUUAAUCGAAAUAUAUAGAAUAGAAAGCUAUCUGUUUAUUUUUCACCGACGGUCAUUGUUCUCGGCAACGUUCGCGAACGGUUCUCUUCGCCCUUUGCUACUAACUUGUCAUGCGCUAACGAAACGCUAAUUCACGCUAACUCGUCCAUCGCGGGCGGGCGUUUGCCAGUCAAAGUGCGAUUAACGCUUUACGAAUAAGACGGAAAAGCGUAGGUAAGCGAUUGGUUGCAAUAACUCUAUCGAUACAGCGCAUCUUUACAGCGACUGCGACAACUUGUAAUUCAAAAUUACAACGUGCGAAUAUAACGAACGAAAGUUUAUCGCCGAUAAUAGCAGUAGUACGAAACAAUAAAUAGAAAUACCGAGUCGCUCCAUCCCCUGACAUUAAUCAUAGGUUCUCCUACAAACGGAAGAACCGAAGCUUCCGCUUCUGGGUUACGUUCGAUGCGGAAACGAAUAGAGAGAAACAGAAGAUAAGGAAGAGAAAGAGCAGCGGGCGAGAGAGAAAGAGAGAGAGAGAGCUAUACCGGUUUCCUCGAGGAAGAUUCAACCUUGGAAUCCGCUUAUAAGAACGAAACAAACAGACGGGGGUCAGUGAAAGUGAUUUCAUUGGCCUCGUGACUUAAACUCGUUUACGCGUAACCUAACUUGAGCUACUUCGCGAGGCGUAAUAGGUGUUACGAGGUCGUUCGGGUCCAUGGCAAGGUCGUUUCUUUCGGCGAAACGAUGAAAAUCCGAUCUCUGACCGAAGACCAACGUUACGCGCGUCCACGGUCAAGUUCGUCGUUUUAAAAAGUUUCUUUUCUUCGGUCGAUCUGAACGAGGGCAUUGCGCUUUCUACAGGUACUUUUACUACAAGUAGUGGAUAACGUUGGAUAGAAGAGCAUCCGAUCGCGGCGUACAUCACCGUGACGAGGAAACGAGGUAUUCUCGAAAGGAUUUGGUCAAAAUGUUGGUGCGAAAGUUGGAAGAAAAUUCUACGGUGGACCGAUUUAGGAAAGAAGAACUUUGCGCUCGUAACGGAACGUGUCGACAACGAUACAUCUCGAUACACGUGGAAAAAUAUCCAACCAUUAUAAUAUAUGCGUUGUUAAUGUUUAAAAAUGUUUUCAUAAAUGGCGGUGCAAGCCGAAACGUU